GUCCUUGUAGCGUGAUGGAUAGCGCGUUGGUCUUCUAUUCCAAAAAGCGUGGGUUUGAAUCCCACCUGGGAUG